GCGGGCAGGCAGGAGGGGAGGUGGUCCAACUGCACAAUGACAGAUUAUGCAAAUCCUCCUGGAGCAUCUAAUCAAUCACAGCAGCAGGAGAGGAAUGCAGCUCAUCUCCAAAUUAGCCUCUGUCAUCACAUCCUAGUCCUCACAUGAAGCAUCCCCCUUCGGCUGGAAUGACAUCAGAGCAGCUCAGGGUCCUUGAAAGUCUGAGGGUUGAUUAGCUGGAGGAAUUGGCUGCUUCUGCCAAUCACAACCCUGCAAAACCGCCUUGAUACUCUUGUAGAUAUGAGGGAGAGGAAGGCUGACUACAGCAAACAGGAGGCACAGCAGCAGCACCGGUAGUAGUAACGGGAGCAUACGAUAUUUGGGCGAUUAAAUAGUUCUCACAGCCUUUUUGCUGUAGCCUGGCUGCUCCACGGUGUAAUCCCCAGGUCCAAGAAGGAAGCUGCAUUUUUAACAGUGUGCUGAACAGAGGUUUGAAUCAUUCCAGCUGGCUGCUUGUUUUGAAAAGGACAGUCUGUGUAUAAAUGAGAUGUGACUGUACUGGCAGAGUUCAGUUACUGGGGCUGGAGCAAGAGGAAUCUUCCCAGGAUGCCGCUCAGACAGCUGCUAUCAAUUGAAAACUCUUCCUAGUUUACCUGGAGCCAUGUGAAGAGAUUUGAAUAGCAGAUGUCUCUUCCCUGCACGCUAGGAAGAGGAAUUCUUCUCUAGAUAAUGUUAAGAGUCCUCUUCAUUGAUUAUUGGCAGCUGCUGAUUUCUGACAAAACCUCUUUCAAUUUAGCUUUCUGGAUCCUUUGACUUCCUACUCCAACAGCUUUAUAACAUCCCUGACAGCUUCAUAAAUGCACUGCAAUGGUCACAUGAACAUCUUGGAAGGGGAAUUGGCACCUCUGCAUCUCCUUGUUCCUAUGGUACUUUAGGAGCAGAGAACCAAAAGAGCGGGAAGUUCAACAGAAGCUGAUCGUCCUGCGAAAGAUGAGUCUAAUUGUGAAGUUCCGCAGAAGUUUCAGAACAUUAGUCAUUCUUCUGGCAACCUUCUGCUUGGCAAGUAUUGUCAUUUCUGCCUAUUACCUCUACACCGGCUACAAGCAGGAAAUGGCCUUUGUGGAAACCACUGGAGAAGUAGAGUGUGAAGACCUCAAGCUUCUACCAUACAGGUCUGUGGAGCUGAAACAGGCUAAGCCAAUUGAUCCAUCUAAAACUGAUCCCACCGUCCUCCUGUUUGUGGAAAGCCAGUACUCCCAGCUGGGGCAAGACAUCAUAGCCAUCCUUGAGUCCAGCAGAUUUCAGUACCACAUGGUCAUUGCACCAACUAAGGGGGACAUUCCCCCUCUCACAGACAGUGGAAGAGGAAAAUACACUAUUGUUAUAUAUGAGAAUAUUUUAAAGUAUGUAUCCAUGGACUCAUGGAAUAGAGAGCUUCUGGAAAAAUACUGUGUGGAAUACAGUGUUAGCAUAAUUGGUUUUCAUAAAGCCAAUGAAAACAGCUCCCCCAGUACAAAAUUGAAAGGAUUGCCACUACAUCUUUACAAUAAUGUGGCCCUCAAAGACUGUAUGGUAAACUCUCAGUCUCCCCUGCUGCGCAUUACCAAAGCACCAAGGGUUGAGAAAGGUCCACUGCCUGGUGAAGACUGGACAGUUUUCCAGUUUAACCAUUCCACCUAUCAACCCGUGCUUUUAACCGAACUGCAGACCUCCAGGCCGCACCUUGCAGCAUUGCCAAAGGCUGCUCUGUAUGCAACUGUCAUCCAAGAUUUGGGGCUUCAUGAUGGGAUUCAGAGAGUCCUCUUUGGAAACAACUUGACCUUCUGGUUGCACAAACUGAUCUUUAUUGAUGCCAUCUCUUUCCUAUCCGGGAAGAAGCUCACCCUGUCCUUGGACCGGUAUAUUCUGGUUGACAUAGAUGACAUCUUUGUUGGGAAGGAGGGAACUAGGAUGAACAUCAAUGAUGUGAAGGCUUUACUAGAGACUCAAAAUUUACUGCGCACUCAGGUUGCAAAUUUUACCUUCAACCUUGGAUUUUCAGGAAAAUUUUACCACACAGGGACUGAGGAAGAAGAUGAAGGUGAUGACCUGCUGUUGAGAUCUGUGGAUGAGUUUUGGUGGUUUCCCCAUAUGUGGAGUCACAUGCAGCCUCACCUCUUCCACAAUGAGUCAUCACUGGUGGAGCAGAUGAUCCUCAACAGAGAAUUUGCAAUAGAGCAUGGCAUACCAACUGGCAUGGGAUACGCGGUGGCUCCACACCACUCUGGGGUUUACCCGGUUCACAUCCAGCUGUACGAGGCCUGGAAGAAGGUUUGGCACAUCCGAGUGACCAGCACAGAAGAAUACCCGCAUCUGAAGCCUGCACGGUACAGACGGGGCUUCAUCCACAAUGGCAUCAUGGUGCUCCCUCGACAGACCUGUGGCCUUUUCACUCAUACUAUUUUUUACAAGGAAUAUCCUGGGGGUCCUCAGGAGCUGGACAAAAGUAUCCAAGGAGGUGAACUCUUUCUCACCAUUCUCCUGAAUCCUAUCAGCAUCUUCAUGACCCAUUUAUCUAAUUAUGGGAACGAUCGCCUGGGCUUAUACACCUUUGUCAACCUGGCCAACUUUGUUAAAAGCUCAACUAACCUGAACCUGCAGACACUGCCCCCCGUUCAGCUGGCUCAGAAGUACUUUGAGCUCUUUCCAGAGCAGACAGACCCUCUUUGGCAGAACCCAUGUGAUGAUAAACGACAUAAGGAUAUUUGGUCAAGAGACAAAACUUGUGACCACCUACCCAAAUUUCUGGUGAUAGGACCCCAGAAAACAGGAACAACAGCCCUUUAUUUAUUUCUUCUGAUGCAUCCUUCCAUUAUCAGCAAUCUUCCUAGUCCAAAAACUUUUGAAGAAGUUCAGUUCUUCAAUGGAAACAACUAUCACAAGGGAAUUGACUGGUACAUGGAUUUCUUCCCCAUUCCUUCCAACACCACUGACCUUGUCUUCGAGAAAAGUGCCAACUAUUUCCAUUCUGAGGAUGCCCCUAAGCGAGCUGCUUCCCUCAUCCCCAAGGCCAAGAUCAUCACCAUCCUCAUCGACCCAUCUGAUCGGGCAUAUUCUUGGUACCAGCACCAGCGAUCCCAUGAGGACCCUACUGCCUUGAAAUUCAAUUUUUAUGAAGUCAUUACAUCCAGCCAGUGGGCGUCCUCAGAGAUAAGGACCCUCCAGAAGAGAUGCCUGACACCCGGCUGGUAUGCUGUCCAUAUUGAACGAUGGUUAACUCAUUACCCUGCUUCACAGUUGCUUAUUAUUGAUGGACAGCAGCUAAGAAGUGACCCAGCUACUGUGAUGGAUGAAGUGCAGAAGUUUCUUGGAGUCUCUCCUCAUUAUAAUUACUCUGAAGCUCUAAUGUUUGACCCUCAGAAAGGCUUUUGGUGCCAGUUAUUGGAAGGAGGGAAAACAAAGUGCCUGGGAAAAAGCAAAGGUCGGAAAUACCCACCAAUGGACCAAGAGUCUCGAGAAUUUCUGUCGAGCUACUACAGAGACCACAACGUGGAGUUGUCCAAGCUGUUGCACAGGCUGGGGCAACCCCUGCCCUCCUGGCUGAGACAGGAGCUGCAGAAGGUCAGGUAGCACACAAGGGCAAGGGACCCAAAUAAGGACGAUUUUCUUCACCGUCAAACCCCUUGCUUCUCCAACUCACUUGUGAUCAUCAGUAGAGGACCUCAUGAAUAACACUCCACUAAAAAAAAAAACAAAAUCCACAGAAGAUUAAUACCCACCCCACCCACUGACAGUACUGACAGAUACAAGCAUCGGACCCCUUUUGUCAGCUUUUGACAGAUAUGCAAAUGCUGACAGAUACAAGCAUCGACCCCUUUUGUCAGCUUCCAGGAAAUAAUAGAGAGCUACAUGGCAUUAUUCUUUAUCGAGACCAGGAUUUGUGCAUAGCUUAGUCCCUCUAUACACCAGGAAGUACCAGAAACUGUGUGUAGGAUGGAUUGACUUCAGCGUACAUGACAAACUGCAGUCUGUCAGGACCUGAGCAAAGGAUGGGAACAUCUCCCACUGGACCGUGAGUUUAUCCUUUUAGUGCGACUGCAAAGGUGUGGACCUGCCUAUGGAUGCGGUUCCUCUACCACUAUCCCAUCUAGAAAAGCUGCCAGAACUAAAUAAGGAUUUGCAAGCAAUGCAGAUUCUGAAGUAUUCAGUGCUCCAGUGACUGGAUAACUUUUCUAAGACUUCUUGUAAUUUCUGUACUAUUUCAGUACAAAAGACAUCUUGAUAGAGCUGAGGAAAAAUUCCUCUGUCCUGCCCAAGCUCUUUUCCUUGCCUUUUUUUUUUCCUUUAUCCUCCUAUGUGACAACAGCAAGUCCAGUUGAACAAGUAUUUGGUGUUGAAGAGAAAGGAGACCAAAAGACAUUUGGAUCACAUGAAGUACCUUUCUGGGGG